AUAUUCAACUGUCUCACCAUUCUUUUUUUUUGAGACAGAAUUUCACUCUUGUUGCCCAGGCUGGAGUGCAAUGGCUCGAUCUCAGCUCACCACAACCUCUGCCUCCCGGAUUCGAGUGAUUCUCCUGCCUUAGCCCAUCUCUGCUAAAAAUACAGAAAAAUUUGCUGGGCGUGGUGGCAGGCGCCUGUAGUCCCAGCUACUCAGGAGGCUGAGGCAGGAGAAUGGCGUGGAACCCGAGAGGUGGAGCUUGCAGUGAGCCGAGGUGGCGCCAUUGCUCUCCAGCCUGGGCGACAGAGUGAGACUCCAUCUCAAAAAAAAAAAAAAAAAAAAGGCCAGUCACAGGGAAAAUUGAGACAAAGGAGGCCAGUUUGUGCUUUCAAGGUAAUUUUGAUGAAAGUUUUAGCUGGGCUUGUCAGUGUUGUUUUUAAAUCAUAGAAAAAAAAA
rnacentral:lncRNA from 10 species